rnacentral:rRNA from 1 species
GACGAACGCUGGCGGCGUGCUUAACACAUGCAAGUCGAACGAAGUGGCGCACGGGUGAGUAACGCGUAAUACACCUGCCCUUCAGAGGGGGACAACAGUUGGCAACGACUGCUACUACCUCAUACUGAAGGAGGGGAUUGCGUCGGAUUCGCUAGUUGGAGGGGUAACGGACCACCAAGGCGAUGAUCAGUAGCCGGUCUGGGAGGAUGGACGGCCACAUUUGGACUGAGAAACGGGCCAGACUCCUACGGGAGGCAGCAGUGGGGAAUCUUCCGCAAUGGACGAAAGUCUGACGGAGCAACGCCGCGUGGGUGAGGACGGGCUUCGGGUUGUAAAGCUCUGUUAAGCGGGACGCGGUACCGGAAUAGAAAGCCACGGCUAACUACGUGCCAGCAGCCGCGGUAAUUC